UCUCCUGCCUCAGCCUCCCGAGUAGCUGGAACUACAGGCGCCCGCCAUGAUGCCCGGCUCAUUUUCUGUGUUUUCAGUAGAGACGGGGUUUCACUGUGUUAGCCAGGAAAGUCUUGAUCUCCUGACCUCGUGAUCCUGACCUCGGCCUCCCAAAGUGCUGGGAUUACAGGCGCGAGCCACCGCGCCCGACAGCAGUUAUGAAGUUCUAAAAGCAAGUCUUAAUCAGGAAGUGUCCUUGAUCACCAACGGCUCGCCCAGGCAUGCUGGCUCUCUUCCACUUCCACCUUCCACCAUGGGAUGACGCAGUAAGAAGGCCAUCAGUAGAUGCCAGUCCCUCAACCUUGAACUUUCCAGACGCAGAACUGGUUUCAUCCCAGGAGCACUUCUUUUCAGCACACUAAGAUUUGGAAUCCAGCAGAAGAUUGUCCUACAUUGAUUAUCUUCUCUACAUCCUGGAGGCCAUGUAUCACAUGAGUUCUCAAAUGACCCUUCUUGUUCUUGUGAUGAACUUCAAUGCCAGCAUUCACAAGCUUUUCUUCAAUGAAGGACCACAAGUGAUUCCUGAGUAAUUGCUGCUGCUGAAAGAAACUGACGCUUACUUGGAUCACAUCUCUGCAGGAACAACACAUUUCCAGAGCAUUUGUCAUCAUUUUCUAUUGCUCAGUUCCACGGUGACAGCUUUAAGAAAAACUGUUUCUGAUGUUGCAGGAUUCUCUUAAAUCUCUGCAAAGAAUCUUCUUUAGAAAGGGUUUUCUGUGACUCUGUUUUCAUAUAACACAUAGUCUAGUAAGAAUUAGAAAUUAGAAAUAACUGAGCUUUAAUCACGGAAUAAUCUUUUCCAGCCUUGAAAGAGUUUGUUUCUUUGUAAAUAUUUGUCAUUUCAUCUUGCUCCCGCUGUCAUCUACCUGAAUGAACUCUAAAGACUUCUCUCUCAUUGAGCACAUUUCCCCUCUAUUUCCCCUGCAAGUUCUGUGUUAAUAAUAAAACUUCAUUUUCCCAGUUUCAGAGAUGGUUUAGAGAAAUAUUAUUUUAAGUCUAGACAGUUUUUUUGGUCACUAUUAUAUUCCUUGUGUUUUGCACAGUGCUUAAUUGGUAGCAGUAUAUUAAUAAAACUUUUUUAGUGAAUAGCCUAAUUUGUUGUGAUAGUUUGUGUAUAUGUGUGGUUGCAAAUAUACAAACAUGCCCUAUAUAUUACAUGUGCACACUUGCAAUAUGUGUAGCGUUGGUCUACACAGCUCUAGCAAUGUGGAUUAAAAUAUACACAUGUCAGAAACUAAUAGCAUUCCAAGUAGGUAUCAAUUGUGAUCUUAAUGUACAGUGAAAGGAAAAAUACGAAUUUAUGAAUUCUAUUGUUUUGUUAUACUAGCUUCAGAUGGUAAAGGGGCAUCUAAUGAAUAUUAAAGAUAUUUUUCACUUGAAACCUAGUACUCAGGUUAAUAUCUUAAAGAAGAACUUCUAAUUUUAUCUACGUUUAUAUAUCUGUAUCUAUAUAUAACAUCUAUUUAGUGUAACAAGCUAACAGGAAGUAAGAAUUAUUGGAGAAAUGAGAUAGCUUAAAAUCCUUUAAGAGACAACCUAAAGAAUAAACAAUUUUGAUAAAACAAUGUGUCAGAAUAGAAAAUCUGUUUUGAUUACUGCCUUCAGCUGUUAUAUAAACUGUGAGUUAUAAUGUAUAAUAAAGUGAAAAUACUUUUUCAUUAGCAUAACUUUUUUACAUCUAUGAGCAGAGAAAGCAAAAUCAAGGUAAAAAUAGAGGUCAAAAGAGUACGCGGGGAAGUGGCAUGUGUCCUGCUCCUUUUUACCUACGUAGCUAAAUAUGCCAAGGAUUUACAGAAUGAGUUAAAUGACACAUAAUUACUUGAUAAUCAAAACACUAUAUUUUUAUUUUAAGAAUGUUAAAAGAAAACUCUGGAAAUAUCAUCUGUU
rnacentral:lncRNA from 1 species